UCACAAUCAAUAUCCGAGCUGGAAACUUUCAUAUCUGCAAAAUAUGAAAAAUGUCAACUGUAAUUGUACUAAAACAGAAAUACAAAACAUCCUUCUAAUAUUUGAGACUUUUGUAUUAAAACGCGACCUAAUUGAAUGAUUUGGGUUUGGUGUCCUUGGCAAUUUGUAAUUUUACAGGUCAUGCCUUUUUGAAAGUUAUUUAUCCGCCAUCAUUAUCGUAUUAUUGUAACCUAUAAGCAGUAUAAGUGUUGUGAACGUCCCAAGACGAUUCGUCAAUCUAGCUGUAUUUUUUAUCUUAGUGAUAGUAAAAUUAAGUGUGAAUUAGUUUGAAAAAUACAUUAUAUCCAUUGCAUUAUCGACACAAAUAUUGAUUAAACUGUUCUUGAGUGUUAAAAUUUUAAGCUUAAUUGCCGUGAAUUUAUAGGGAAUAAUAAAUUUAUUUUUAUAUUCUAGAUCCUGGUCCUGGCUGAAAUUGAGAGUAUUGCAGCUGUAGCUUGUAUACCAUACAUUUAACAUGGAAAGGACAGUCAGGAUGCUGCAUACAAUGGUCUUAGUGAAUAUUUCUUGGGAAAAUGCUGCAAAAGCAGUAAGAGACAGCCAAAGAAGUAUUCAAACACCACCAUGAAACACUUAAGACAUACCAGGAGAGAUCUAGAAGAGUAGCUAGUAGAAGAGUGGAAC